rnacentral:rRNA from 1 species
AGGGGCAGCACGAUGUAGCAAUACAUUGGUGGCGACCGGCGCACGGGUGAGUAACGCGUAUGCAACCUACCUAUCAGAGGGGAAUAACCCGGCGAAAGUCGGACUAAUACCGCAUAAAACAGGGGUUCCACAUGGAAAUAUUUGUUAAAGAAUUAUCGCUGAUAGAUGGGCAUGCGUUCCAUUAGAUAGUUGGUGAGGUAACGGCUCACCAAGUCCACGAUGGAUAGGGGUUCUGAGAGGAAGGUCCCCCACACUGGUACUGAGACACGGACCAGACUCCUACGGGAGGCAGCAGUGAGGAAUAUUGGUCAAUGGGCGAGAGCCAGAACCAGCCAAGUCGCGUGAAGGAUGAAGGAUCUAUGGUUUGUAAACUUCUUUUAUAUGGGAAUAAAGUGAGGAACGUGUUCCUUUUUGUAUGUACCAUAUGAAUAAGCAUCGGCUAACUCCGUGCCAGCAGCCGCGGUAAUACGGAGGAUGCGAGCGUUAUCCGGAUUUAUUGGGUUUAAAGGGUGCGUAGGUGGUUAAUUAAGUCAGCGGUGAAAGUUUGUGGCUCAACCAUAAAAUUGCCGUUGAAACUGGUUGACUUGAGUAUAUUUGAGGUAGGCGGAAUGCGUGGUGUAGCGGUGAAAUGCAUAGAUAUCACGCAGAACUCCGAUUGCGAAGGCAGCUUACUAAACUAUAACUGACACUGAAGCACGAAAGCGUGGGGAUCAAACAGGAUUAGAUACCCUGGUAGUCCACGCAGUAAACGAUGAUUACUAGCUGUUUGCGAUACACAGUAAGCGGCACAGCGAAAGCGUUAAGUAAUCCACCUGGGGAGUACGCCGGCAACGGU